GAUGAACGCUAGCGAUAGGCUUAACACAUGCAAGUCGAGGGGCAGCACAAGGUAGCUUGCUAUCUGGGUGGCGACCGGCGCACGGGUGCGUAACGCGUAUGCAACUUGCCCUAUACAGGAGGAUAACCCGUCGAAAGACGGACUAAUACUGCGUAUGCUCACAACUUGGCAUCAAGUGGUGAGGAAAGAAAUUCGGUAUAGGAUAGGCAUGCGUCCCAUUAGCUUGUUGGUGAGGUAACGGCUCACCAAGGCAACGAUGGGUAGGGGAACUGAGAGGUUUAUCCCCCACACUGGUACUGAGACACGGACCAGAAGCCUACGGGAGGGAGCAGUGAGGAAUAUUGGUCAAUGGGCGCGAGCCUGAACCAGCCAAGUCGCGUGAAGGAUGACUGUCUUAUGGAUUGUAAACUUCUUUUAUACGGGAAUAACAAGAGUCACGUGUGACUCCCUGCAUGUACCGUAUGAAUAAGCAUCGGCUAACUACGUG
rnacentral:rRNA from 1 species